AGAGUUUGAUCCUGGCUCAGAUUGAACGCUGGCGGCAUGCUUUACACAUGCAAGUCGAACGGCAGCACGGGUGCUUGCACCUGGUGGCGAGUGGCGAACGGGUGAGUAAUGCACCGGAACGUACCCAGUAAUGGGGGAUAACACAUCGAAAGAUGUGCUAAUACCGCAUACGCCCUGAGGGGGAAAGCGGGGGAUCGUAAGACCUCGCGUUAUUGGAGCGGCCGAUGCCGGAUUAGCUAGUUGGUGAGGUAAGAGCUCACCAAGGCGACGAUCCGUAGCUGGUCUGAGAGGACGACCAGCCACACUGGGACUGAGACACGGCCCAGACUCCUACGGGAGGCAGCAGUGGGGAAUUUUGGACAAUGGGCGCAAGCCUGAUCCAGCCAUGCCGCGUGAGUGAAGAAGGCCUUCGGGUUGUAAAGCUCUUUCGCAAGGAAAGAAAACUUAUCUACUAAUACUA
rnacentral:rRNA from 1 species